ACGCUGUGGCUGUCAGGAGCCCAGUCUGGCUCAGUCCCUGCCUGUUUCACCCACACCCAGGCGCCCCCUUGGACAGAGGCAGAGGAGAGGCUGCGUCUCCCGGAAGCAGCUCCUGUCACGUCCCGGGCAACCUCACCCUCCUGCCUUCACGUGGGUCUGCACAUCCGGGCACCAGGCCUCCUGCCUAUCGCCGGCUGGGUCUCCCGGCUCCCUGGCCCUGCCAAGCACAGGCAAGGCGUCAUGAGUAGCGACUCGCUUCUCGGGACCACACAAAGCCACUUCCGGCCCAGCCCACAGGCCCCAACCCCCCAUGCUCCCCACGCUGGGUGCUGCCUGGGGCCCGGUGGAGCCUCCUUUCUCAGACACUGGCCCUGGAAUCUGAAAGAGGAGACAGCCAGGGAGAGGACAAGAGGAGAGGUGAGGACCCUGUGUACCUGCAUCUGACAGGGAAAGGGCAGUUAAAAACCUACUCUGAAAAGAGCAAAGAUGUACUUUAGCAUGAAACUGAGAAGAUGCUCCAAACAUGAUGUAGACCAUCCCAGGCCAGAGGGGUAGAAAGCACGCCAGGGACGGAGGAGCAGACGGAUGCUCACAGCCUCACACAACCACUCCAGCCCAGGCGAACAGAGCCCGACAGGUCACGUACCUUCCUGGCUGCUGCUGCUGCACUUUGCCCAGAGUUUCUUACUUUUUGCCACAGCCCUGCGGAGCACGACUCUCCUGACUGACUCAGCACUGAACACUACUCACGGACCUCCACUCGCCUGGCAGGUGGCAGCCCUGUGACAUGGAUGCUGGAUUGGUCCUGGUCUUGGGGUAUCAUGCACUACUGAACUCCCCAAACAUCUGGGGACAAACAAAAUAGGUCACCAAAUAGGUCAUCAUUUGUAAAGUAAAAAAAUGCUUUCAACACUGAACAGCUAAGCUGGGCGUGGUGGCGCAUACCUGUAAUUCCAGCACU